ensembl:lncRNA
CCACAUUUGUGCAUUGCAUUUUCUUGAUUAGUUAUUCAUCAAGUUCCCAGCUUAUAAGAGUUUCUUGGAAGCUCAUCAGGAAUGCAAGCCAAACAGAAUGCCUGGCUCACAAAUCUGCUCACCUGGGUGUUUGGACAACCCAAGGCAGAAAAUAAAUCAGCUUGAUCAUCUUUUUGAUACUCAUGGCCAUCAAUAAAAACUUAUUGAAGGAAGGAGGGUUAACCUCCAAUUUUUGAGUCUCUGAAAAUGUUUUGCAUGGUUUUAUGGAAAUCCCCUAAAGCAAAAAGGAUAGAAUUACCGUCAACAGCCGAAGUUGGAAAGACAGGAUUGUUUUGCCCAUUUUGAAAAUGAGGAAACUGAGGCUGAGAGCUGUGAAGUGACUUAAUUCCGAAGUGGCUGAGUUGGCGGUCAAUCCCUAAGCCUGGCUCCAAAAUUCUUCCUAUCACAUCCUGAUACCUGACAUCCAGCUACCACUCCAGAUAGACAAGAGAGCUAAAGAACAAAAAAUUGUGCACAAGAAAACCUAUGUUAAAUUCAGCCUGUCCUGGAAAAUCCAGAGUCUGUGGAAAUAAAUUCUACCCAUAAAGUCAAGGCGAAGUUUUCCUUAAAGGGAAACCCUCCAUGAAUAUCACUUCAAGAAAAGAAAGACACAGUACAUAUCUCGACUCUACCUCCAGCUCAGGAGCUGCAGCCGGGAGCUGGUAAGUGGGAGGUGAAGAAAGACCCGAGAACGAAGAGGAGGGGUGAGUGGAGAGAGGAAGAGGAGAAGGAAGUCCCUCGUCAAAGCCAGAAGAAUUGGAAGCACGGACAUGAAGAGAGAUUUGUACACCCGUGUUCACGGCAGCAUUAUUCACAAAAGCCAAAAGGUGGCAGCCACCCAAGAGUUCAUCAACAGAUGAAUGGAUAAACAAAAUGUGGAGUCCCAGCAUCUCAAGCUUGAAUAGACUGAAGUGGCAAAGGCUGGUGUCCAUAAAUCGUCAUCUGCCUCUGCAAAAGGAUUGCCCCUUUGGGUCUCUAUUUGUUCGUGCCAGGAAGUGAGCAAGUGGACCCACGUGGGAACCACUGCUGCUUGAACUUGGGAAAUGUGAAGUUUGGAUGCGGGAAGUUUAAAGAGUGGCCUUUUUCUCAACAUGAACCCACCUCUUGGAGACUGUAGCCUCUCAUCGAUUUGAUAGCUGCCCGCCUCAAAUGGAAGACCUUGUGUCUGGAAGGAACUCUUCAAAUUCUAGUGAUUUCAAAGUUGAGCUAAAAUUUCUUCAGAAGUCAUGCUUGUAAUUUCCUGGGAAUGCUUUAUUAAAAUGGGGCCAAAUGGCCACUUCUCUGAGUGUCCAAGCCCAGAACCCUUCUUUUGGGAUGAUUUAUGGUCGCAAAGUUUGCCUAAUUGCAAUAAUCACCACCUAACUGAUGAUACUCCCGCUCCCUCGUUUUGACAUGUCUCUGCCUGUCGCCAUUUUAUCAAUCCCAAAUGGAUAUUGAACCAUUUCGUGCUCCAAUUAGUCUUCCUAGUUGCCGCUAAUAUAUUGAGGUCUACAACUGUGUACUCAGAAAAAGUAUAAAUAUUCCAGUAAGUUUGUUAAAGCAGGAAGGAUUGUCCGAAAUGAGAGUUUCUCCUGCAGGUUCUUCAGUUGAAGACUAGAGGGACCAGGAAUGAAAAAGUUGAUGUGAUUGGCUUGUCCCUGAGUCGCUUGACUAGCUCACUCUAGCCCAUGCGUGCGGUUCUCCAGGUCAGUCUUGGGCACUCACAUGCUGCAGAGAACGUGGAUUCUCGGAGUCCAAGCAGUGGUUCUCAGUGAGGGGUGAUUUUGCUCCCUCCCCGACCAGGGGACAUUUGGCAACGUCUGGAGCCUGUUUUGGUUGUCACAACUCAAGAGUGCUAAUAGUAUCUAGUAGGUAGAGGCCAGGGUUCAUGCUAAUAUCCUACAACGCCCAGGACAGCCCCCUAC